UGGUCAUUACCAAAGCUUCUAUGAACUUCAGUUUCUAGUUCGCUGUGGACAUGACCAAAAAGCAAAUGUCACUUGGCUUUCUGAUGCUGUAGAUGUAUAUGGCUAAGCCUUUUGUCAUACAGUC